UUGAAACACCUGUUCUCGUAUGAUCACCGAAGUUAAGCAACAUCGAGCCUGGUCAGUACCUAGACGGGUGACCGCGUGCGAAUACCAGAUGAUGUAA